rnacentral:rRNA from 1 species
CCUACGGGUGGCAGCAGUGGGGAAUAUUGCACAAUGGGGGAAACCCUGAUCCAGCGACGCCGCGUGAGUGAAGAAGUAUCUCGGUACGUAAAGCUCUGUCAGCAGAGAAGAACAUGACGGUACGUGAAUAAGAAUCCCCUGCUAACUACUUACGAGCAGCCGCGGGCAUACGUCGUGGGCAAGCGGUAUCUGGAUUGACUGGAGGUUAUGGGAGGGUUGACGGAAGCACAAGUUUGGAGUGAAAUACCGGGGGGUAACCCGGGGACUGCUUUGGAAACUGUGCGGCUGGAGUGCAGGAGGGGUCAGCGGAAUUCCUAGUGUAGCGGUGAAAUGCGUAGAUAUUAGGAGGAACACCGGUGGCGAAGGCGGCUUACUGGACUGUAACUGACGUUGAGGCUCGAAAGCGUGGGGAGCAAACAGGAUUAGAUACCCGGGUAGUC